AACCCCCAGCUAGGCUGGGGGUUCCGUCAAGCUUCCAGCUUUGAGUCGGCUCUUUUAAUGGCCAGUAACGCUUGUGGUCAGGUAGCAACAAAGCACCUCUGG
rnacentral:sRNA from 2 species